GACGAACCGAGCGAACGUUGUUCGGAAUCACUGGGCUUAAAGGGCGCGUAGGCGGCCUGCCAAGUCAGGAGUGAAAUCUUUCGGCUCAACCGGAAAAGUGCUUUUGAUACUGGCGGGCUAGAGGGAGAUAGGGGCAUGUGGAACUUCCGGUGGAGCGGUGAAAUGCGUUGAUAUCGGAAGGAACGCCGGUGGCGAAAGCGACGUGCUGGACCUCUUCUGACGCUGAGGCGCGAAAGCGUGGGGAGCAAACAGG
rnacentral:rRNA from 1 species